AAGACUGUUCUCAUCUCAGGAUGUCUUGCUAAUGCAUAUUUAGUUAGUAGCUUACUUUAUGGGCACAAUUCCAUUCAUGUUCACAUUUUCAUUAUCAGCGAAGCAUAGCUCACUGCUGUUUUUCAAAAGGCAGAACAGAGAUAGCUCAGUGUUUGCUCAUAGCCACAGGGCGAUUCAGUGACUCACUCAAAGAGCGGUGCGAAAGGCAGGCAGCUUUUGUGUAUGUUUCAUUAUAGGAAAACCAACAUAAGUAGUAUGGGCUCGGUGAAAAACUUCAGAACAAAUGAACCGGAGCAAUCUCCCCCAAGCUGGUGCUGCACAGAAUUUUGUUUGGAUUUGUGUGCUGAAUGUCAGACGGUGGAUGCUGCCUCCUCCUUCCACUUUCAGAAGCUUCAGCCUCUAUAUAUCUCCAGCAAGGCCACUGCCCAAGAUUCCUUUCUUUGGGUAUCUUUGUCCUCCGGGUUGGACAGCAGUGUUUUGCUAAGAUUCUUGGAUUUUUUGGUGUUCACCUGGACUGGGACCUCUCUUCUUCCUUCAGAGGAGCUCAUCUGUUUCUUCUGAUAAUGCCACCAAGGUGUCCUUUUGCCAGAACAGAAGAAAAGAGACUGUCACAGAAAAGUCACUGAUGGCUCUGUUGGCUGCCUCAGUUCAUUUGCUGUUGUUGCAGUGAGUGUGAUCUAAUGGAAAGCAGAACAUUCUUAUUAUAGCAAGCUAUAAUUCACUGGCUGAACACUCAAGUGUAUGCAGUCACCAGCACAUGAGCUUUAGAGUAGCAGCUGGACCUAAAUCUGUUUGCUACACUGUCCUCACAGCUACAUGGGAAAGAACUGUUUUUCCCAGUUCCUAAACUUCAGCAAUUUCCAUUUUGUGCUGAGAUGAAAGCAGAAAAUGUUCUUGUAAACAUUGUCCUGGAGCAGCCAAGAGAUCAGCAUUUAGGGCACUGGGUUGGGAGGCAGAAAAUACAUGUAUGCACUCUCCUUCUCCGGUGGGAAUAAAUAUUAUAUAUUAA